rnacentral:rRNA from 1 species
UACGUAGGGUGCAAGCGUUGUCCGGAAUUACUGGGCGUAAAGAGCUCGUAGGCGGUUUGUCGCGUCGUCUGUGAAAACUCGAGGCUCAACCUCGAGCUUGCAGGCGAUACGGGCAGACUUGAGUACUGCAGGGGAGACUGGAAUUCCUGGUGUAGCGGUGAAAUGCGCAGAUAUCAGGAGGAACACCGGUGGCGAAGGCGGUUCUCUGGGCCUUACCUGACGCUGAGGAGCGAAAGCGUGGGGAGCGAACAGG